ensembl:lncRNA
CCUUUAUCUGACAAGCACUUUACAGUACAUCCUUGGCUUGCAUGUAGUAAGUAAUGGACAUAUGGAUGUUCUUUAUGCUUGCCAUGACAUGCCUUGCAUGUAUUAAAUAACAGACAUAUGAUUGUUGUUCAUGCUUGCCAUGACAUGCCUUUAAGGUUUGGUCUUUAUCUGACAAACACUUUACAGUACAUCCUUGGCUUGCAUCCAGUAAACAAAGGACAUAUGGUUGUGCUUUAUGCUUGCCAUGACAUGCCUGUAAGGUUUGGUUAAGAAUAUUUGCAGAUGUUUAACAUUACUCAACCAAAGCUUCCCAUUUACCAGGUAAUGUCUAUCCUAAUCCUAGUGUAUAUCUACUUGGAAGACUAGGGGUCACAGUCUCAGCAACUAGGUAACUUCUCAGGAACAGCAUGAAUCCCAGCUUUUGAGAUUUAUUGGCCUUUUUUUGUCAGAAACACUUCAAAGUACAUCCUUGGCCUUUUUUUGUCAAGUGUCAAC